CCUCGUAUGGGGGUUGGUGUGGGGGGUGUCUCCCUCCCCUCUUCAGCUGCCUUCCUACCUCCAGGGGCACACCAAAUCACUGUGAUGACCUCACAAUCAUGCCUGGUGAUUAUGAGGAGUUAGUGGGAUGAUGCACCGGGCAACCACAGGGAUUGCUCACCAGUGACUCAGUGGUUGACUCAAAGGCUAGGGGGUGGUUUGGGGGUGGAGGCAGAGGUCCAGUGAGCUGGGCUCCACCCUUUCUCUCCCUGCAGUCACAACUCCAUCUUUAUCUGUGCUAUAUGUUGGAGUCUAGCCAAGAUGUCAUUUGAACAAAGAUUCUGAAAGAUCAAAGAAAAAAGUUUGAAAACUACCAGGACAAUGCUUUCAGGGGACUUUAUCCAAAAGACUGCAACAAUGUAAAGAGAUAUUAUUGCUUUUAUUACUGUGAUAUGUUUAGAGUAUUAUAAAUUUUUUAAGAGCUUCGUAAGUGACAGAAGUGAAGACAUGCUCAUUUUAAUGUUACCAGUCAACUCUGAGAAGACUAAAGUUCAAGGGACAAUGAAAAUAUGACCCUCACCAAGGACAGAAACUCCCAGGAAGCCACAAUUAACUCAAGACUACCAGGAUAUUUGGGGAAGUUUAUCCUCGUGGAAGACCAGAAUUUCUGAUUUGUGGAAAAUUCUAUAGAUAUUCUCUGCCAGACUCCAGCCUGUUUGUGUGAGACAUCUGGGGAGGCUCCCCUUUUUUUUCACCAUUUGAGGACUGCAAGUAAAUUUAGCUUCCUCAGCAGAAAGAAAAGAAGCUGUUUUGGAGGUUAGGAAGAGCUUUAGAAAAUGCGGCAUCAAGUCUGUUGCCCCCUUUGAAGAAAGCAGCUCUGGAAAAGGCCUAGGACAUUAGUUGCUACAAAGUUCUAGAUCAUUCUGUGUGGUAAAGAAGUGCCUUUCGUCUCCCACUGUGAUUCUGAGGCCUCCCCAGCCAUGUGGAACUAUCAGGUCUGUGUUGGUAAAUUAGACACCAUAUGGCCUUUCAACAUCCAGGAGCAAGAUGGCAGGAGGAUCAUGCCAACAACUGAGGUACCUUGCAGGAAAUCAAACAGGAAGAAAUCACCCAAUGGGAUCAGCUGGGCAAACAUGGGUCACCCCAGGUCUGGUCCCUCAAAUCUACCCAACCAAACCAUAUCAUAGUGGAUAGCUAUUAUCUUUACCUGACUAGCAUUCAUUGCCCCUUCUGGUAUGCCCUAUUCCCCACUCUCAAUCCCUCUGUUUUAAGAAUGCCGCCACCUCCACCUUCCAUCUCCAGGAGUGAUAUCCACCCAGGUUUGCUCAGUAAGACUACGAGACCUAUCUUCCUGGCCAUGGUGAUUGGUUCAGAAGCAACAUGCCAACCAACCUGAUCCAAUGAGAGUGAGUUCUAGGACUUUUGCUGGAACUACUGUAUGUCUAUAUAUAAAAGAGAAUCUAUCUUUCCAUUGAAAGCCAACGGUAAGAAGCCAAUAUGAUAUGCAAUUGAUUCUGUUAUGGAAAUCCACAUAAAACAAGGCUGCCCAAGUAUAAAACCAACACAGAAGAAAGCAGAGGUAAGAGACGGAAAAGGAAAUGGAGUGAACCAGUGACAGCAAGAGACUGAAGGACAUCAUUUGAGUGCCUGGAAUCAGCUAAGCCUGAAGAGAAGCCUAACCCUAAGCUUUUCAGUUGCCCAAGCCAUCAAAUUCCCAUCCCCAUUUUUUUGGUUCUUAAGCAGCUUGAACCAUAGUUGUCUCACUUGCGUGCAAGAGAUCCCUGAAGAUACAUGCACUCCCUCAGGUGAAGAUUUCCAUCAGUUAACAGAUCUGGGCACCCAGGGACCCUGGGACAGUCAUUCUGGUAGCAUGCUCUGGUAGAGAAUAACAGAGUCAAAUCUGACAGUCAGAGAGGAUCUGCCAGCCUCUGCUUAGAUAUAGCCCACUGGAAAGGAGAGAUGAUUAAUUUAGCCUUGAUUUCAAAACCUUGUCUUGUAUAUUCCAUUCAGCACUUUUUAUCUUCCUGUAUUCCCCUGGUUCCUCUCUAGCUGAAUAAAGAACAAUUUUUAAAGCAAA